AUAUAGCUGAGUGAUAGAGUGCUUGCCUAGCAUGCGUGAGGACCUGGGUUCAAUCCCCAGUAU
rnacentral:tRNA from 1 species